CAGCCGUAAACUAUGCGCGUUAGGUGUAUCGGUGACCACGAGUUACCGAGGUGCCGAAGGGAAACCGUGAAACGUGCCGCCUGGGAAGUACGGUCGCAAGGCUGAAACUUAAAGGAAUUGGCGGGGGAGCACCGCAACGGGAGGAGCGUGCGGUUUAAUUGGAUUCAACACCGGAAACUCACCAGGGAGACUGUUACAUGAAACCCAGACUAAUGAUCUUGGUUGAUUUCUAGAGAGGAGGUGCAUGGCGGUCAGUGACU
rnacentral:rRNA from 1 species